UUUUUUUUUUUUUUUAAUUUGAUUUUGCAAGUGGGUUAGCCAUUUUUCCUUCUUCUUGACGAAAUAACGAACCCAAUCAACUCCAUUUUACUUAAUUUGUAUUUUUUAAUAUAUCAUAGUAGGACUGUCUCUGAAUUCUUACGCACAGAACCCUACUUCACGAAUUCAUGGUGGGGUACUGGCUUUUAUUCUUGGAGGCUUGGAGUGGUGGUGAAGCCGAUGGAGAAACCGAGGAUAGCAUUGAAGUUUAUUUGGAUGCAUAAGGCAAUUGAUGUUGCGUUAGACCAAGUGAUACAAGGGUUUGGCUAAUGCCUUCGAGUCCCUGCUACUUCUGGUCCAAGGAAGAUGCCUGGGCCUGGGACCAGCUUAAAAUGUUGCUUGAAAGC
rnacentral:misc_RNA from 1 species